AUGGAAUAUGGUUUCUCUAGACGCUUAAACGAUUGGAAGCUUCAUGAUGUGGAGACUUUUUUCUCAAGAUUGCAAGAUACAUAGUGAAUAAGGAAGAAUACGAUAUGGUGUUUUGGAUGGAUUGGAGGAAUGAAGUUUUUUUUUUGUCAAAUAUCUCUAUUUUGUCUUGAAUAGGAACACUCUUUUUCCAAUGAGCAUAAUUUGGAAUUUA
rnacentral:lncRNA from 1 species